CUCGAACUCCUGACCUCAGGUGAUCCGCCUGCCUUGGCCUCCCAAAGUGCUGGGAUUAAAGGCGUGAGCCACCGUGCCCGGCCUACCUCUGCCUCCUCCUGCCCCCUCCCCAGCGUCUUUGCUGUUGUCUGCUGUGACCUUAUUGUUGGAGGAGUGGGUGGCUCUCUGUUGAAAGUCCCUAAUGCUCCUCUCUCCUUUGCUAGAGGAGGUCCUGACCGGGAUCCAGGGCCUCGGUACCAGCCAUUCCGCCUAACCCCGUAUGUGACCAAGAUCCGGGUCUCAGAUGGGGCCCCUGCACAGCCGUGCUGCCUGCUGAUUGCAGAGCGCAUCCAUUCGGGUUACGAAGCUCCCCGGAUACCCCCUGACAAGAGGAUUUUCACUACGCGGCACACACCCAGCUGCCUCUUCCAGGAUGUGGAUGAAAGGGCUGCCCCCCUGCUGGGCUACCUGCCCCAGGACCUCCUGGGGGCCCCAGUGCUCCUGUUCCUGCAUCCUGAGGACCGACCCCUCAUGCUGGCUAUCCACAAGAAGAUUCUGCAGUUGGCGGGCCAGCCCUUUGACCACUCCCCUAUCCGCUUCUGUGCCCGCAACGGGGAGUAUGUCACCAUGGACACCAGCUGGGCUGGCUUUGUGCACCCCUGGAGCCGCAAGGUAGCCUUCGUGUUGGGCCGCCACAAAGUACGCACGGCCCCCCUGAAUGAGGACGUGUUCACUCCC
rnacentral:lncRNA from 10 species